GCGGGAACGGUUGUGGACGCGGUCUGUUCGCCUUGCCAAGGCGAAGGUCGCCGGUUCGAACCCGGUGUUCCGCUCCA
rnacentral:tRNA from 1 species